rnacentral:rRNA from 1 species
GACGAACGCUGGCGGCGUGCUUAACACAUGCAAGUCGAACGAAGAGCGAUGGAAGCUUGCUUCUAUCAAUCUUAGUGGCGACCGGGUGAGUAACGCGUAAUCAACCUGCCCUUCAGAGGGGGACAACAGUUGGAAACGACUGCUAAUACCGCAUACGAUCUAAACUCGGCAUCGAGGAUAGAUGAAAGGUGGCCUCUACAUGUAAGCUAUCACUGAAGGAGGGGAUUGCGUCUGAUUAGCUAGUUGGAGGGGUAACGGCCCACCAAGGCGAUGAUCAGUAGCCGGUCUGAGAGGAUGAACGGCCACAUUGGGACUGAGACACGGCCCAGACUCCUACGGGAGGCAGCAGUGGGGAAUCUUCCGCAAUGGACGAAAGUCUGACGGAGCAACGCCGCGUGAGUGAUGACGGCCUUCGGGUUGUAAAGCUCUGUUAAUCGGGACGAAAGGCCUUCUUGCGAAUAGGGAGAAGGAUUGACGGUACCGGAAUAGAAAGCCACGGCUAACUACGUG